GAUGAACGCUGGCGGCGUGCCUAAUACAUGCAAGUCGAGCGAACAGACGAGGAGCUUGCUCCUCUGACGUUAGCGGCGGACGGGUGAGUAACACGUGGAUAACCUACCUAUAAGACUGGGAUAACUUCGGGAAACCGGAGCCAAUACCGGAUAAUAUAUUGAACCGCAUGGUUCAAUAGUGAAAGACGGUUUUGCUGUCACUUAUAGAUGGAUCCGCGCCGCAUUAGCUAGUUGGUAAGGUAACGGCUUACCAAGGCAACGAUGCGUAGCCGACCUGAGAGGGUGAUCGGCCACACUGGAACUGAGACACGGUCCAGACUCCUACGGGAGGCAGCAGUAGGGAAUCUUCGGCAAUGGGCGAAAGCUUGACGGAGCAACGCCGCGUGAGUGAUGAAGGUCUUCGGAUCGUAAAACUCUGUUAUUAGGGAAGAACAAAUGUAUAAGUAACUAUGCACGUCUUGACGGUACCUAAUCAGAAAGCCACGGCUAACUACGUG
rnacentral:rRNA from 1 species